rnacentral:tRNA from 1 species
GUUCUUGUAGUUGAAUAACAACGGUGGUUCUUCAAGCCACUGGUCUUAGUUAAAAUCUAAGCAGGAACU